GACGAACGCUGGCGGCGUGCCUAAUACAUGCAAGUCGAGCGAGCGGAACUAACAGAUUUACUUCGGUAAUGACGUUAGGACAGCGAGCGGCGGAUGGGUGAGUAACACGUGGGGAACCUGCCCCAUAGUCUGGGAUACCACCUGGAAACAGGUGCUAAUACCGGAUAAGAAAGCAGAUCGCAUGAUCAGCUUUUAAAAGGCGGCGUAAGCUGUCGCUAUGGGAUGGCCCCGCGGUGCAUUAGCUAGUUGGUAAGGUAAAGGCUUACCAAGGCGAUGAUGCAUAGCCGAGUUGAGAGACUGAUCGGCCACAUUGGGACUGAGACACAGCCCAAACGCCUACGGGAGGCAGCAGUAGGGAAUCUUCCACAAAGGACGCAAGUCUGAUGGAGCAACGCCGCGUGAGUGAAGAAGGUUUUCGGAUCGUAAAGCUCUGUUGUUGGGGAAGAAGGAUAGAGGUAGUAACUGGCCUUUAUUUGACGGUAAUCAACCAGAAAGUCACGGCUAACUACGUG
rnacentral:rRNA from 1 species